UGGGGAAUAUUGCACAAUGGGCGCAAGCCUGAUGCAGCCAUGCCGCGUGUAUGAAGAAGGCCUUCGGGUUGUAAAGUACUUUCAGCGGGGAGGAAGGGAGUAAAGUUAAUACCUUUGCUCAUUGACGUUACCCGCAGAAGAAGCACCGGCUAACUCCGUGCCAGCAGCCGCGGUAAUACGGAGGGUGCAAGCGUUAAUCGGAAUUACUGGGCGUAAAGCGCACGCAGGCGGUUUGUUAAGUCAGAUGUGAAAUCCUCGGGCUCAACCUGGGAACUGCAUCUGAUAAUGGCAAGCUUGAGUCUCGUAGAGGGGGGUAGAAUUCCAGGUGUAGCGGUGAAAGGCGUAGAGAUCUGGAGGAAUACCGGUGGCGAAGGCGGCCCCCUGGACGAAGACUGACGCUCAGGUGCGAAAGCGUGGGGAGCAAACAGG
rnacentral:rRNA from 1 species